AUCUCUGGGGGGGUUGGUGGGUGCACCGUGUGUCUGGUGCAUACGCAUUCAAAUGCUCUGGAGCUUUGUGGAGUGGCGCAGCUUGUCACGCCAUGCAUGGCAACCACAGCAUGUGGUUUUAAGCUGUCUGUGAGGCAAUGGUGUCUUUUCUUCUGGCGUGUCUGCAACCAAGAGCACAGCUCCCCCUCGGCAUUUUCCAGUCAGUGGAGGACAGAGAGAUCAUGGUUACAGGGAAGGACCAUGGACAAGGCACCAAAAGCGAGGUGGCAAAACUUUCAGAUUGAUCCGUGGUGUGAAUUUAGGAGCCUGUUUCUACUUUCUGCUGUACAAGAGUGAGGGAUGUGGCGAGCAGAUGUGUCCAAGCGUGCAAGCACACAUGCGCCCACACCACAGAAGCGGGGAAAGUGAAACCACAGAGACACACACGGCAGGCCGCUCAGACAGAGUCGUCCAACUCUGAGGAGGAGGCAGAGGAGCAAGUGCGGGGUGAGGGCUUUGAGGUUUCAAGAUUACCGAGUGAAGACUUCCAGAUGGAGAAAGGCAGGGAGAUGUUUCAGAGCUGCAGGGGGGACUGAUAGAAACAGAGUCCCUUGAUCCAGUCAGGGGAUAUCAUGUGAAGAGAAGACCAGCUCUGAAGGUUUCACCUAACCCACAAGCAGCUGGAUCCACCUCAAGCACAGAGCCAGACGUUUUGCCAAAAGGGAGAAAAGGAGGGGAGAUUCCCACUUGGAUUCAGCCCUGGGCAUGGGCAGAGGCUUCUCCCACAUCUCAGAGUGUUUGCUUCUCUGAUCGUGACUGUGCAGGAAACAGAGAAGUGUUGAUAAAGUGUUGGGCUUUGAAGGUUUCACUUUGAGUCUACUGAAAGGGAGGGAAGUGACGUGCUCAAGACCCCCUGCUUUUGGGGAAUAUAUUUCCUCUCACCAGAGUUUCUACACUUAGUUCAAAUUGGUCUGAUCUGGAUAUACAUUGCUGCAUUUCCAUUCUACCUGUUCAUUCUUCUGGACUGCAAGGCAUAGCAACGUCAUUCUGUCCAGGACCCCAAACAAUGCGUAAAGUCUCCUGAAGUAGAGAAGCAACGCAGAGCAAAGCAGCCUGUGUUGUCCAGCCAUUAUCCAGGCCACAGCAGAAGACAGACUAAAGAAGGUGCAACGAACAAGAAGUGAGCAGAAUACCUGUGCCCAGGCCCAGCAAAAGGAAGAACCGCCAAAGGAAGGGGCUGACUGUGGAAAGGAGGAAAAAGACAAGGGUAAACCUGCAUUAUGAACAACCCAAAUGCUGAGAAAAUUGAGGUCAGUCCUGCAGCCAUUCAGAAUCCACCACCCUAUCCAGCUGUGCAGCCCUACAAGGCACCUGAUCCAUCAGCACCCCCCAUGGCAUCUGCAGCUCCUCUCCUUAUGCCACCCCAGUACCAACCCUGCCAUGCUGCACCUGGGGAAGGAUUCAACCACGGUCUGGCCCUUCAAUCUGCACAGACUGUCGUCUUCUCAGUUGCCCAGCCUGUCCAUGAACCCGAUUACCUGGCCUACUCCAUCUUUACCAUGCUCUGUUGCUUCAUACCCGUGGGGAUCGCUGCCGUGAUCUAUUCUGUAAAGACUAAAAAUGCCAACCGCUCCGGAAACAGCAGAGCUGCUCGGCAAUAUUCGUCACUGGCUCGCACCUUGGGCCACGUAUCACUUGGGGUGGGGAUAGUGGGUUCAGUUUUGUAUUUCAUUUUAAUUAGAGUUAUUUAAGGGCAUAAGAACAUCGAUCAGCACCCACCAUACAAGCCUCAGGAUCAUUCAUAAAGAGCAUUCGCCCUGAUGCACAAGUCAGAGAAAAUCCGUUUUGCCAUCACGCGCUUUGCAUCGUUUCAUCAAGAACCGCUGCUUCGCAUACGCAUAUACACAAGGCGAUUUCCAUACAAUUAAAUGCGUGACCAAACUGUGCACACUGCAAAGGACUGCAUUUGAGGGACCCUCAAGGGAUCUGGAAGCUCUGCCUAGUGCAGCCUGCCUGCCCCAGCCGAGUCUGCUCUGGAUGCUUUGGACUUCAGCUUCCAUGGCCAGCCUGGCCAAUGGCAAUGGAAGUGGGGAGCUGCAGGCCAAACUAUCCGGAGGGCCCCAGGUUGUGGAAGGCAGAGCUACUAAUAGCUUUGCAAUGGCCCAGUAGCAUCAAAUGUUUAACAUCAUACUUGAUGCAGCUCUACGAGAAAGAAAGAUCCCAACUCAAAACUAUACCAUGAGAACAGGUAUACUGGUUGUCACCAAGGUCACAUUUAAAUCACUGGCCCAGUUGAUGGAGGGACACGGCUCCUAUUUUUGACCCCUGUAUUGCCAAGAAUAAAAUAUCCAUCCCUUUAACAUUAUUCAGUGGAGGCAUAACCUAUCCUCCCUGAUGCAUAGCUCCUUUUUCCUCCCCUUUCCUAGGAUUACUUCCUAUUCUCCAACCUUCUUCCCUCGAUCUUUCCCUGGAUCACUCCCUUUUCCAGGCUUCCUGCCUAAGCUCCCUGUCUUCCCUUGACCUGCUGCCAUUGCCCUCCAACAUUUCACAGAGGAAAAGCCCUGUUUUCAUACCAUGAACUACUACCCAGGUCUUGCUUUCUAACUCCAUCCCAUUUACGGCUCUAUAUGCAAUCUACUCUCUUCAUUUUGGACUGUUUCAUCACAGAAAAUUCAGAAGUGGUUUACCAUGUCCUUCUUCCAUGCUGUACUAACCAGAGUUAGCUUGAGCGCCCCAUUCGCUGUGAAAGAUCCUCCACCAGUGUCACUUUCAGCUCCUGCUGCUGCCCUGGAGCUGCCCUUCAGGAGUUUCUCCACCAGCAGAAAGACAAACAAGGGGAUUCUUGAUCACAUCAAAGCAGAACUUUCCCCAGUAGCAAAAAAAAAGGUAAAUAAUGAGGAUGUCAUAUUUUGGAUGUAUCAUAAGAGGCAAAGCUCCCUGGAGAAGACAAUCAUGCUAGGAAAAGUAGGAGAAGGAAAGGAAGACCAAAUUUGAGAAGGAUUGACUGCAUAAAGGAAGUCACCAUCUUCAGUUUACCAAGGCUGAAUAAGACUGUUAUAAAUAGGACAUUUUGGGGGGCUUUCAUAUAUAAGGUCAGAGAUGACUUGACAGCACAUAAAAAUCUCUUGUUUAGUCUGCAGGCCCUGCCCUGCCCUGUUUUCAGUGCUAACAGCUAUGGCUCUAGAUUCUAUGAGAAAAUAUAGCAAUGUUGCCCCAUCAAUAAUCAAAGAUGCCACAUAAAAUAUCAGCAUAUGAAGCUGCCUCACCAUUGCACCAUAUCAGUAUUUUCUAUACCAAAAGUUUUCCAAAGAUUGUUGGACUACAGCCUUCUGCAUCCUGCCCAUUGGCCACAGACUAGAGUGAUGGGAAUAGGAGUCCAACAUCAUCUGGAGACCUACACGCUUUCCGCCUCUGAUCUACAUGGAGUAGCAGCUGUCCAGGGAUUCAUGCAGAAGUAUUUUCACACCUGGAGAUCCCUUGAAUUGAACCUGAGAACUUCUACAUGCAAAGCAUGCUCCUGAAGUACAGUCCUUUCCCUGCAGGAGAGUAAAUUCCAUGCAAAAUUAUUUACUGCAUUUUAAUACAGAUGCUAUAUGUAUAUAAAUUAAUUAUAUGAAUGUAUACAUGAUUGCAAGCUUCAAUUUGAUUGUGAUCACCUUUAGAAAGCACACACACAUGCAUGCACUCAUUUCCAGUGCUGGUUCUGUAAUGAUAUUUAACAAGUUCAUUAACCAGAUCUUAGGGUCGAAGCUUGAAAGCAUGUUUUGCUGACCCUCAUAAAUGUCUAGUAAUAAUGUGAUAAAUGAAAGGAAUGUCUGUUUUAGCAUUACUUAGUUUCUUGGUGGCUUACAAAAUAGGGGAGCACAAGUUAGGAUUGUAAUACAACAAAUAGGAAAUGUACAUAGCAGCUAUAAAAUAGACUGUGUCCAAUGAUCAAGGGAAUAUCUACACCAUUGAACAAUAGCCCGGGCCACAACAAGUAGGAAAUAUGAUAGUCCCCUCAGCAUUUAUCCAUCUGUGCAUUUCAUGAACUGGGUUUAUUUCGCUUGAUGCAAGGCAUGAGGAUGGCUUUCCUAGUUAUUUACUAGCCAACAAAAGCUGUUUGCUUCAUUAAAGUUAUCUGAAAUCCC